GAGGUGUGGAUAGGGGAGAAAUUCCAAUCGAACCCGGAGAUAGCUGGUUCUCCUCGAAAUAGCUUUAGGGCUAGCCCCGUAUUAGUUUAGCGGAGGUAGAGCACUGAAUUCCUAAGGGGGCGUCAAAGCUUACCAAGGGAUAUCAAACUCCGAAUGCCGCAUAAAUGAUGUACGGGAGUCAGACUGCACGAGAUAAGUUGGGUAGUCAAAAGGGAAAGAGCCCAGACCUACAGCUAAGGUCCCAAAGUGUGUGUUAAGUGGAAAAGGAUGUGGGAUUUCAGAGACAACUAGGAUGUUGGCUUAGAAGCAGCCACACAUUCAAAGAGUGCGUAAUAGCUCACUAGUCGAGAGGUCCUGCGCCGAAAAUGUCCGGGGCUGAAACACAACACCGAAGCUUAGGAAUGUAGUAAUACAUUGGUAGAGGAGCAUUCUUAAAGGAAUGAAGCAGUACCGGUAAGGAGCUGUGGACUUUUAAGAAGAGAGAAUGCCGGAAUGAGUAGCGAGAUGGAGGUGGGAAUCCUCCAGGCCGAAUAUCCAAGGUUUCCAGAGUAAAGCUGAUCUGCUCUGGGUAAGUCGGGGCCUAAGGUAAGGCUGAGAAGCGUAGCCGAUGGACAACAGGUUGAGAUUCCUGUACCGCGUAUCAUCAGAACUGUGGGGACACAGAAGGACAGCACAUCCCGGGAAUGGAAAGACCGGGGCAAGCAGGGUAGGAGUUAAGCUGGCAAAUCCGCUUAACAAUCCGAAGCUGUGAUGCGGAGCGAAUUUAAGUAGUGAAGUGUGCGAUUCCGGCUGUCAAGAAAAGCCGCUAUUGUGUGAUACGUGCCCGUACCGUAAACCGACACAGGUAGAUGAGGAGAGAAUCCUAAGGCCGGCGGGAGAAGCAUUGUUAAGGAACUCGGCAAAAUGACCCUGUAACUUCGGGAGAAAGGGUGCCUGGGAAACCAGGCCGCAGAGAAUAGGCUCAAGCAACUGUUUAGCAAAAACACAGGUCUAUGCAAAACCGUAAGGUGAGGUAUAUGGGCUGACGCCUGCCCGGUGCUGGAAGGUUAAGAGGAGGGGUUAGCGCAAGCGAAGCUCUGAAUUGAAGCCCCAGUAAACGGCGGCCGUAACUAUAACGGUCCUAAGGUAGCGAAAUUCCUUGUCGGGUAAGUUCC
rnacentral:rRNA from 1 species